UACGAAGGGGGCUAGCGUUGUUCGGAAUUACUGGGCGUAAAGCGCACGUAGGCGGAUCGGUCAGUUAGGGGUGAAAUCCCAGAGCUCAACUCUGGAACUGCCUUUAAUACUGCCGAUCUCGAGUCCGGAAGAGGUGAGUGGAAUUCCGAGUGUAGAGGUGAAAUUCGUAGAUAUUCGGAGGAACACCAGUGGCGAAGGCGGCUCACUGGUCCGGUACUGACGCAGAGGUGCGAAAGCGUGGGGAGCAAACAGG
rnacentral:rRNA from 1 species